rnacentral:tRNA from 1 species
UGCCGAUCAGCGCGGGGGCUUCGCGCGCCGUCAGCACGGGCGGCAGUUCCAGAGCGGCCGCCAGCGGCUCGGGUUCGAAUCCGGUAUCGGCAGC